UAAUGAUAUUUAUUUUCAAACCUGACAGGUUUGGAGCCAUGGAUCUUUAAUAAUGUUUUCCCAGAAAACAUUAUCAAUACAUAUGAGUUUCAUUUAUGGUAAAGACAGGAGAAA